rnacentral:rRNA from 1 species
GACGAACGCUGGCGGCGUGCUUAACACAUGCAAGUCGAACGGAAAGGCCCCUUUUGGGGUACUCGUUUGGCGAACGGGUGUGUAACACGUGUGUAACAUACCCUUGUCUUCUGGAUAACUUCUGGAAAUUGGGGCUAAUACCGGAUUGUAAUCCUCGCUGCAUGUUGGGGGUUGGAACUCUUCGGCGGUUUUGGAUUGUCUCGCGUCUUAUCAGCUUGUUGGUCGGGUAGUGGCUUACCAAGGCUUUGACGGGUAGCCGGCCUGAGAGGGCGACCGGCCACAUUGGGACUGAGAUACGGCCCAGACUGCUACGGGAGGCAGCAGUGGGGAAUAGUGAACAAUGGGCGGAAGCCUGAUGCAGCAAAGCCGCGGGCGGGAUGAGGGACUUCGGGUUGUAAACCGCGUUCAGCAGGGGCGAAGCGUGUGGUGACGGUACCUGCAGAAGAAGCACCGGCUAACUACGUG